rnacentral:rRNA from 1 species
UUUUGGACAAUGGGCGCAAGCCUGAUCCAGCCAUUCCGCGUGAGUGAAGAAGGCCUUCGGGUUGUAAAGCUCUUUCGCAAGGGAAGAAAACUUACUUUUUAAUAAAGAGUGAGGUUGACGGUACCUUGAUAAGAAGCACCGGCUAACUACGUGCCAGCAGCCGCGGUAAUACGUAGGGUGCGAGCGUUAAUCGGAAUUACUGGGCGUAAAGCGUGCGCAGGCGGCUUUGUAAGUCAGAUGUGAAAUCCCCGAGCUCAACUUGGGAACUGCGUUUGAAACUACAAGGCUAGAAUAUGUCAGAGGGGGGUAGAAUUCCACGUGUAGCAGUGAAAUGCGUAGAGAUGUGGAGGAAUACCAAUGGCGAAGGCAGCCCCCUGGGAUAAUAUUGACGCUCAUGCACGAA